UACGUAGGUGGCAAGCGUUGUCCGGAAUUAUUGGGCGUAAAGCGCGCGCAGGCGGUCCUUUAAGUCUGAUGUGAAAGCCCACGGCUCAACCGUGGAGGGUCAUUGGAAACUGGGGGACUUGAGUACAGAAGAGAAGAGUGGAAUUCCACGUGUAGCGGUGAAAUGCGUAGAGAUCCGGAGGAACCCCAGAGGCGAAGGCGGCGCCCUGGCUCGCAACUGACGCUCAGACACGACAGCAUGGGGAGCGAACGGG
rnacentral:rRNA from 1 species